rnacentral:tRNA from 2 species
GGAGAGAUGGCUGAGUGGUUGAUAGCUCCGGUCUUGAAAACCGGUAUAGUUCUAGUAACUAUCGAGGGUUCGAAUCCCUCUCUCUCCU